AAUAAUUGUGGCUUCUGUUUCGC
rnacentral:piRNA from 1 species